UGGACAUCGGGAUCAUUGAUAUAUAGCCAUUUCUUUCAAAUCGGAAGGAAUCAUGACGUGGGUUGGGGUCCCCAAAGAGAUUCUUUAUCCCUCCUACAGCUUGUGUUAACUUGACUCAAGAACUUCUUGGACGGAAACAUCAGUGCUACAAUGUGAGCUUCAGUUCCAUAAGAGAUUGUUGAACAUGCUCAACUUUUCCGAGCGAGUAUGGAGAUAUGUCAGAUGUCGAUCUUGCUAGGGCAUUUUCUAACUUUUUGGAGUCAAGUGGUGAUCCAAGAGCUACAAAUAUAUUUAAUUUCGAUCUAAAGCUAAUCAAGAUUCAAUGGAGAUCAAAUGAGCAUGAUGAUGUUGAUAGUGGUGUGUAUGUAAUAAGGUGCUUAGAAAUGUAUAUGGCUCAAGGAAAUUCUUCAUGGGAUACUUGCUUA